rnacentral:rRNA from 1 species
ACGGGUGAGUAAUGUCUGGGAAACUGCCCGAUGGAGGGGGAUAACUACUGGAAACGGUAGCUAAUACCGCAUAACGUCUUCGGACCAAAGUGGGGGACCUUCGGGCCUCACACCAUCGGAUGUGCCCAGAUGGGAUUAGCUAGUAGGUGGGGUAACGGCUCACCUAGGCGACGAUCCCUAGCUGGUCUGAGAGGAUGACCAGCCACACUGGAACUGAGACACGGUCCAGACUCCUACGGGAGGCAGCAGUGGGGAAUAUUGCACAAUGGGCGCAAGCCUGAUGCAGCCAUGCCGCGUGUAUGAAGAAGGCCUUCGGGUUGUAAAGUACUUUCAGCGGGGAGGAAGGCGAUGCGGUUAAUAACCGCGUCGAUUGACGUUACCCGCAGAAGAAGCACCGGCUAACUCCGUGCCAGCAGCCGCGGUAAUACGGAGGGUGCAAGCGUUAAUCGGAAUUACUGGGCGUAAAGCGCACGCAGGCGGUCUGUCAAGUCGGAUGUGAAAUCCCCGGGCUUAACCUGGGAACUGCAUUCGAAACUGGCAGGCUUGAGUCUCGUAGAGGGGGGUAGAAUUCCAGGU